GGAGGGCGCCGGAUCCCCUCAGCGGGGCCCGACCGUUACUCCGCUGAGGUAAUUAGAGAGGCCGCCCUAAUUGCAGUCAGCUGAGCUGGGCAUGCUGCGGCGAGCGCUCCGCCGGGCUGCGGCUAACCUCGGCCCACGCCUCGCCUCGCUCCGCUCCGCGGGCACCGCCGACGCUCCGGUGAAGGCCCCCGGUCGCAGCCCGGCAAUGAUGGCCGUAAAUCCGUAAAUGAGGAGCCGGGUCGGCGUCAGGCCUCGGGGCCCCGCUCCUCGCAGAUAAAUGGGGAUAACACUUCACAGCAGCUGCGGCCUCGGGAUGGGAGGUGCCUUCAAAGGGCCCUGUGUCGCGUAGGGUGACAGAGCUGCCCCUCAGGAGCCAGGUAUCCUGCUACGUCCUGCAAGAUUCAGGAUCCUCUCAAGCAAUGGGAAAGGAAGCAAAAGGAAAACAAAAGGUUUUUCCUGCUGGUUCUUGUCACAGGAAGCCCUGCACUGUCUGAGGGAACCACCACCAUUGAGUGCAGAGGCUCUGGGCUUUGAGACUCCAUCAGAGCAAAGUAGAAGUUCAAGUAGAGGAAAUUCCUGUUCCUAUUCUCCUUUCUAGUUCAGUGUAAGGCCACAAUUAAAGAUUAACUGCCUCCAAAUAAUAUGGCAGAGCUGACACCCACCAGCAUCCCCUUGUGCCUGAGAUCAGACCUUUGGAGCAGCAGGGUACGGGCAGAGUGGACACGCGAUCAGCACCUGGGAAGUGGAACUCCAGACUUCGGUGGUGGUACCAGCAGCUUCAACUUUGCCCUUCUGAGAAGACACUCUCAGCCCUCCCUGACAAAUGUUUUAAUGCAGCAAGUGCCUGGGUGCUGAGGGGCAGCUCUUCAGGGACCCAGCACAGCCAGCUGAUUUCAGCAUGGUUUUGCAGGGUCUUGUGCAUUUAAGGGGUUGAACUCAGCCUGGGCAGGGCAGCAGUAACAGCCUUGUAUAAUGCAGAAAAGCCUGGCACAUCCUUAUGUGGGUUAUUAACUUUCUUUGGGGGCCUGGGGGGUAAGGUGGUAACAUGACUGUAUUUCCAGAGCCAUCAGUCUCUGCAUAAAAAUCAUGCUAAAAAUAUAAAAUAAAAAGACCUCUUUGGGGCGAGCCUUG